rnacentral:rRNA from 1 species
UACGUAGGGCGCAAGCGUUGUCCGGAUUUAUUGGGCGUAAAGAGCGUGUAGGCGGCCUGACAGGUCUGCUGUGAAAACUCGAGGCUCAACCUCGAGACGUCGGCGGAAACCAUCUGGCUAGAGUCCGGAAGAGGAGAGUGGAAUUCCUGGUGUAGCGGUGAAAUGCGCAGAUAUCAGGAAGAACACCCGUGGCGAAGGCGGCUCUCUGGGACGGUACUGACGCUGAGACGCGAAAGCGUGGGGAGCGAACAGG